AUGAACGCUAGCUACAGGCUUAACACAUGCAAGUCGAGGGGCAUCAGUUUGGUUUGCUUGCAAACCAAAGCUGGCGACCGGCGCACGGGUGAGUAACACGUAUCCAACCUGCCUCAUACUCGGGGAUAGCCUUUCGAAAGAAAGAUUAAUAUCCGAUAGCAUAUAUUUCCCGCAUGGGUUUUAUAUUAAAGAAAUUCGGUAUGAGAUGGGGAUGCGUUCCAUUAGUUUGUUGGCGGGGUAACGGCCCACCAAGACUACGAUGGAUAGGGGUUCUGAGAGGAAGGUCCCCCACAUUGGAACUGAGACACGGUCCAAACUCCUACGGGAGGCAGCAGUGAGGAAUAUUGGUCAAUGGACGCGAGUCUGAACCAGCCAAGUAGCGUGAAGGAUGACUGCCCUAUGGGUUGUAAACUUCUUUUAUAUGGGAAUAAAGUGGUCCACGUGUGGAUUUUUGUAUGUACCAUAUGAAUAAGGAUCGGCUAACUCCGUGCCAGCAGCCGCGGUAAUACGGAGGAUCCGAGCGUUAUCCGGAUUUAUUGGGUUUAAAGGGAGCGUAGGCGGAUUGUUAAGUCAGUUGUGAAAGUUUGCGGCUCAACCGUAAAAUUGCAGUUGAUACUGGCAGUCUUGAGUGCAGUAGAGGUGGGCGGAAUUCGUGGUGUAGCGGUGAAAUGCUUAGAUAUCACGAAGAACUCCGAUUGCGAAGGCAGCUUGCUGGACUGUAACUGACGCUGAUGCUCGAAAGUGUGGGUAUCAAACAGGAUUAGAUACCCUGGUAGUCCACGCCGUAAACGAUGAUUACUAGGUGUGGGGGGACUGACCCCUUCCGUGCCGCAGUUAACACAAUAAGUAAUCCACCUGGGGAGUACGGCCGCAAGGUUGAAACUCAAAGGAAUUGACGGGGGCCCGCACAAGCGGAGGAACAUGUGGUUUAAUUCGAUGAUACGCGAGGAACCUUACCCGGGCUUAAAUUGCAAAUGAAUUAUGGGGAAACCCAUACGCCGCAAGGCAUUUGUGAAGGUGCUGCAUGGUUGUCGUCAGCUCGUGCCGUGAGGUGUCGGCUUAAGUGCCAUAACGAGCGCAACCCUUAUCUUCAGUUACUAACAGGUCAUGCUGAGGACUCUGGAGAGACUGCCGUCGUAAGAUGUGAGGAAGGUGGGGAUGACGUCAAAUCAGCACGGCCCUUACGUCCGGGGCUACACACGUGUUACAAUGGGGGGUACAGAAGGCCGCUACCUGGUGACAGGAUGCCAAUCCCAAAAACCUCUCUCAGUUCGGAUCGAAGUCUGCAACCCGACUUCGUGAAGCUGGAUUCGCUAGUAAUCGCGCAUCAGCCAUGGCGCGGUGAAUACGUUCCCGGGCCUUGUACACACCGCCCGUCAAGCCAUGAAAGCCGGGGGUACCUGAAGUACGUAACCGCAAGGAGCGUCCUAGGGUAAAACUGGUAAUUGGGGCU
rnacentral:rRNA from 1 species